rnacentral:lncRNA from 7 species
GCCAUCAAAGUUUGUUGAGAUUUUAUCGAUCACCCGUUAUAAUCGGAGAUUCAACGUGCUCAUCCUUUUGUGGCUAUAUAAAUCAGUCAUCGGCACCCCUUCGACCCAUAGCUCGAGUCGGCGCUUGAAUUCGAGAGUCUACCAUACCAUCGCCAUCUACCAAGCAAGCUGCGCCAUCGAAGAUGGAUAGCAGAGAGAGAAAGGAACUCGUCGUCGUCCUAAGCUCGACAUGCCGUCCUGUAGGCCGGGCCUGGGAUCCCACACCGGUGCGUGGGCGUCGUCGUCGGGCCGCCAUGCAUCAGGGCACCGCUGCGUCGCGUAGUCCGGAUCCACGUCGCCCAGACCUGAGCGUGAGGUCACGAGUCAGCUGAAGACCAAGUUGGUACCUGGAAUCUCAAGUCCCAGGUCAAGAACAUGUACCGCAGGAUGAUGCGCAUGGAGGAUGCUGCGAUGUGUUCGUGAGAGAUCUAGGUCGUCGUCCCCCAGUCAACUUUGGGUUGCUGGACCGUUGUCUCCUUAUAAUGUAAUUAUUUAUUUAUUUUGUACAGAACUCCUGUUAUGUAGUAAAGAUGUGACAUUCG